GGGUGCGUAGCUCAGUUGGGAGAGCAGCUGACUCUUAAUCAGCGGGUCCUAGGUUCGAUCCCUAGUGCGCCCACCA
rnacentral:tRNA from 1 species